rnacentral:ncRNA from 1 species
UAAAGCCACUCAAGUGCUACUUUGAUGGAAAAAAACUCGACUGGAUGUUUCUCGACACGUCGUCUGGUUGGUUGGUGGAACGAUUUGUCUAGUUAAUUCCGAUAACGAACGAGGCCUGUUAAAUGGGUGUGUGGUGCUUUGCAUAUUCCACAUUUCUUAGAGGGACAAGCGACUCCUAACCGCACGAAACACAACAAUAACAGGUCUGCGAUGCCCUUAGGUGUCUGGGGCCGCACGCGCUACACUGAAAGCAGCAGCGUGAUUUUAUCCCUGCUGUAAAGACUGGGUAAACCGUGGAACCUCCUUCGUGAUUGGGAUAAGGGCUUGCAAUUGUUCCCCUUGAACGAGGAAUUCCCUGUAAGCGCGAGUCGUAAGCUCGCGUUGGAUACGUCCCUG